ensembl:lncRNA
AUCACUAAUUUCAUCGGAAAUGAGGUAACCAGUGCAGGAGACAGAGAAAGCAAAUCGAGCAUCAAAUGGCAGUUCUCGUGAAUCCACGCUAAAGGACUUCCUCUGGACUCAAUUCCUAAGUGCGGUUCUCAACCCCUCACCACCCCGCCCCUCCGCAGUUGGCCGAGCCUGUUUCUGAAAGGAGCAGAAGCUGCUGGCUCUGCACGGAAAAGACGUAUGCUUUGAGAAGACUCUGGAAGGCGAGCACGGGGGUCUUGAGGAUGAAGGUUUUCUUUCUGGCAGCAGAGGGAGCACGAGAGUACUUAAUCAAGCAAGUGUACAGGCCCUCCCAGUCGUAAGGGAUUUUUAAUUGUAGCAUAUGUCUUCAUGGGAAGUAGCCUCUUUCAUCGUUCACAACAAAACCAAACAAAGACAAGCGAACGCAAACAGCUUACCAGCUUGUAACGACGAAAUAACCAAAUGGAUCGGACGUUAAAUAGACUAUAGUUUUAGGCUUGGCUUCGUAAAAGAAAGUGGACCUCAGCAGUCCUAUUUGAAAAAGAUGCCUUGUUUUUCUGCAAUGAAAAUUAAAGUUUGCCCAACC